GAUUCAAACCCACGAACACCAGGCCAGUGAAGCAGAACGUGCGAACUUAACCACUCUGCCACCGGGCCAGUCCCCAGCUGUUAUUUUCGUUAAUGCAUUUUAAGCCCGUAAGUCCGAGCCCGCCGUGGAGUAACUGCGCGGUGGAAGUUGUUCGUGGCGGUUGUGGUGUGCUGCGGUUGGCAGAGCCCGCUUUAGGUGGUGGCGUGAGAGAUGGUAAUAAUAGUACCGUUUGCUCACUGUUUGGGUUUAGUUCCUGGUUAUCCAAAAGGUAUUUUGGAAUUGGAACUUGUUGCUUCCCUUUCGUUAAUUCCUUCACUCAUUGAAGGACUUUAAGCUCCUUACUCAGCCACCAACUUUCUUGAGACCUAGCCCUCAGCAUUCAGUUGAGGGUGGAAGGAAAGAGGGUUUGAGCUUGUGAAAACACCUCGUGGGCAGAUGUUCACUAGCUCUAAGGAAAUUUGUCUGUUGAUGGAGGAAUAGUGUUUUUACUUGUAAAGAACACUUUCAUCUAGCCCAAAAGAACCAAAAAGGAGUGGCCUUAACUGACUGAUUUUCAGGCUCUUGUUCCCUGGCCACCCACUUGCAUGCCUUCAGGUAACGUUAACUUCCUAAGGGCAGGGCUGUGGGUGUUUUAAUCCCAUACUGGAUGGUAGAAUCUUGUGCCCUCUGGGACUAAACUCUGUGUAAGAGGAUGGUGAUAAUAGCUCUUUUUUUAUUGGGCACUUAAUGUGUUUCAGGAACUGUGCUAGUUUCUUUACGAGCACUUUAUGCUAUUGUCCCCAAAACAACACUGCAAUGUUGUUAUUAUUUCCACUUAACAGAUGAAGGAAUUGAGGCUCAGGAAAGUGAAGGACUUGUCCAGACCUCCGUUGCCAGAAGUGGCAGAUGAAAUAUUUAAACCCUUGUCUGUCUGUCUUCUAGGUCCUUUUCAUCACUCACAGGCCGGCAAAACUGUGUCUUAGGUCUUCAAUGUUGAAGCUAGAAGGACCUCACUUGUAGGCAUCUCCCCUCCCUGCCAGGUGGAUCCGACAGCUGGAAGUGGGGAGCUUUAUGACAGGUCUUAGGUUACAUUUGCAAAUUUAUCACAGCUCUUGUGUGGAAUACAGGGACGCUCUGCUGUUUAGUCAUCUUAGACUUUCCUGAAAGGCUUCUUGAAUUUCUUGUGCCAUCGAGGUAGAAAUGGACAGCACGUAUGGCAUCCAUUGGAGACGUCUCAGGAUCGCCCUAAUUAUGUGUCUAACUACCAGCUGACAAAGUGGACGGAUUAGUGGCUUGUUACAUGAAACCAGCCAGGAUCACACAGAGGCGGCAGCUGUAGACAUCUGUGAAACAUUAAUGAUCAGACAAUAGGUAAUGGCCCCUUGCGGAUCUUCUGAAGGGGUCCAGGAAACCAUCAACCAGAGAAAUGGUCUGAAGGGGCUUUCGUGUUGUCGAGAAAUCCACCCAUCGGUGAUAGUGUUUGUGAGAACGGAGUCUAUAAUCCAAGGUGACGGCAUUUCAGAAUUUGGUAGUAGAUGGAAUUGUCCAUAAUUUGCCCAGCAUGAGAGGAGAGACCAGUGCCUCUGUCUGAUUUGGUGAGCUGGCAAGUUGUUCUCUAAAAGUCACUUGAAAUUAAUUUUAUUUUCGUUUGGGUUGUUAACAUUCUCUUAGAUAACGUUUAGUCAUGGGAGGCAGACCUUGGGUUUUUGUUCUGUGUCAUCUGUGUCCUUCAGUGCUCUGGAUCUGAGACAAGCCAGUUAGCCUUUCUAAGCCUUGGUUUACUUAUCUGUGGAACUGGGAUAAUAGUGUCAUCUCACAGAGCUCUGUGAGGGUUUCCCAACUCGGACCCACGGGCCUGGCCCUUGGGGGGCUCUUGGGGGUCCCCUGGCAGACAGAAGACUUCUUCUGUUUCUCUUUUGAGAUUGGUUUGUAUUUUGGAUGUUUUGUAUUCUUAGUAAAGAACAAUUAAUUUGGAAGAAAAAUAAAAUUAUCUGGAUGAUAUGUAAGUAUUCUUAAUACCAUUGUUCUAAUAGUAGAGAGGUUUAUUAGAAACAGUAUGUUUUUGGAUAAGUCCAGCCCCAUUCUUGAAUUUUGACUUACGAUUAAUCUGUAAACAGCUGGAAAGCACUAAACUGUAUAAUAAAGAAAUUUGUUUUCUGAUC